rnacentral:rRNA from 1 species
GACGAACGCUGGCGGCGUGCUUAACACAUGCAAGUCGAACGGAAAGGCCCUGCUUUUGUGGGGUGCUCGAGUGGCGAACGGGUGAGUAACACGUGAGUAACCUGCCCUUGACUUUGGGAUAACUUCAGGAAACUGGGGCUAAUACCGGAUAGGAGCUCCUGCUGCAUGGUGGGGGUUGGAAAGCUUCGGCGGUUGGGGAUGGACUCGCGGCUUAUCAGCUUGUUGGUGGGGUAGUGGCUUACCAAGGCUUUGACGGGUAGCCGGCCUGAGAGGGUGACCGGCCACAUUGGGACUGAGAUACGGCCCAGACUCCUACGGGAGGCAGCAGUGGGGAAUAUUGCACAAUGGGCGGAAGCCUGAUGCAGCAACGCCGCGUGCGGGAUGACGGCCUUCGGGUUGUAAACCGCUUUCGCCUGUGACGAAGCGUGAGUGACGGUAAUGGGUAAAGAAGCACCGGCUAACUACGUGCCAGCAGCCGCGGUGAUACGUAGGGUGCGAGCGUUGUCCGGAUUUAUUGGGCGUAAAGGGCUCGUAGGUGGUUGAUCGCGUCGGAAGUGUAAUCUUGGGGCUUAACCCUGAGCGUGCUUUCGAUACGGGUUGACUUGAGGAAGGUAGGGGAGAAUGGAAUUCCUGGUGGAGCGGUGGAAUGCGCAGAUAUCAGGAGGAACACCAGUGGCGAAGGCGGUUCUCUGGGCCUUUCCUGACGCUGAGGAGCGAAAGCGUGGGGAGCGAACAGGCUUAGAUACCCUGGUAGUCCACGCUGUAAACGGUGGGUACUAGGUGUGGGGUCCAUUCCACGGGUUCCGUGCCGUAGCUAACGCUUUAAGUACCCCGCCUGGGGAGUACGGCCGCAAGGCUAAAACUCAAAGGAAUUGACGGGGCCCCGCACAAGCGGCGGAGCAUGCGGAUUAAUUCGAUGCAACGCGUAGAACCUUACCUGGGUUUGACAUGGAUCGGGAGUGCUCAGAGAUGGGUGUGCCUCUUUUGGGGUCGGUUCACAGGUGGUGCAUGGCUGUCGUCAGCUCGUGUCGUGAGAUGUUGGGUUAAGUCCCGCAACGAGCGCAACCCUUGUUCACUGUUGCCAGCACGUUAUGGUGGGGACUCAGUGGAGACCGCCGGGGUCAACUCGGAGGAAGGUGGGGAUGACGCCAAGUCAUCAUGCCCCUUAUGUCCAGGGCUUCACGCAUGCUACAAUGGCUGGUACAGAGAGUGGCGAGCCUGUGAGGGUGAGCGAAUCUCGGAAAGCCGGUCUCAGUUCGGAUUGGGGUCUGCAACUCGACCUCAUGAAGUCGGAGUCGCUAGUAAUCGCAGAUCAGCAACGCUGCGGUGAAUACGUUCCCGGGGCU